CAGCACCUCAAGUGGUCAGGAUGAUUAUUGGGCCUAAAGCAUCCGUAGCCGGCUCUGUAAGUUUUCGGUUAAAUCUGUACGCUCAACGUACAGGCUGCCGGGAAUACUGCAGAGCUAGGGAGUAGGAGAGGUAGACGGUACUCGGUAGGAAGGGGUAAAAUCCUUUGAUCUAUUGAUGACCACCUGUGGCGAAGGCGGUCUACCAGAACACGUCCGACGGUGAGGGAUGAAAGCUGGGGGAGCAAACCGGAUUAGAUACCCGAGUAGUCC
rnacentral:rRNA from 1 species